UACGAGGGGGGCGAGCGUUGUUCGGAAUUAUUGGGCGUAAAGGGUGCGUAGGCGGUUUGGUAAGUCUUAUGUGAAAUCUACAGGCUCAACUUGUAGUCUGCAUGAGAAACUGCCGGGCUUGAGUAUGGGAGAGGUGAGUGGAAUUCCUGGUGUAGCGGUGAAAUGCGUAGAUAUCAGGAAGAACACCUAUGGCGAAGGCAGCUCUCUGGGACGGUACUGACGCUGAGACGCGAAAGCGUGGGGAGCGAACAGG
rnacentral:rRNA from 1 species